CUCUUGUGCUUACACGUACAUUUCCAGCUCAGUUCUCAGUAAAACUGAAGUUUCUGCCAAGGAAAAUGUCCCGUGAACCACCAAUGCCUAUGGACGGUUUUCACACUGGAGCUUCCUAACCAGCUGACCUCUUAAGAGAGGGCUGUUACAACAGGUGACACAGGAAACUCAGAACUGGCAAGGACCUCCAGGACAGUGUUGAAUAGAAGUGUCAAAAGAGGCAUCUCCCUCACUGCCAGGCUCAGAGGGAAAGUUUUCAGUAUUCCGUAUUAUCUGCGAUAUUGGGUGAAUACUGCUCUUUUCCUUUGUAGAUACCUUUUAUCAGAUUAUGGACAUUCCCUUUUAUUUCUAAUUUGCCAAGAAUUUUUAAAUUAUAAAUGUUUGCUAAAUUUGAUUGCAUUCCUUUUAUUGCACAUUUGAGAUGAUGCUGUGGCUUUUUCCUUUAUUCUACUAAUAGGUUGAAUUAUAUUCAUUGAUUUUCAAAUGUUAAACCAGCCUUGCCUUCCUGGUGUACAUCUAAUUUGGUUGCCAUGUACUUUCUUUUUCUAUGUUGUUACAUUCAGGUUCUUUUUUGGUGUCUAUGUUUUAAAGAGACAUUGACCUGUAAUUUUUCUUUUUGUAAUAUUCUCACCAGAUGUUUAGUGUAAUGGCUGUGCUGGCCUUAUAAGCACACAUUAAGAAGUUUUCUUGGCUGGGCGCAGUGGCUCAUGCCUGUAAUCCCAGCAUUUUGGGAGGUGGGCAGAUCACCUGAGGUCAGGAGUUUGCCUGGGCAACAACAGCAAAACUUCAUCACAGCAAAACUCCAUCUCAACAACAACAAAACAACAACAACAACAAGAAAAAAGGAGUUUUCUCUCUUCUUCUGUUCCUGGAAGAGUUUUAUUGUAAGUUUAGUGUUGUUUCUUUUUUAAAUGUUUGGUAGAAUUCAUUAAAAAAGCCAUCAAGGCCUGGAGCUUUCUCUGUGCUGAGUUGAAAUUACAAAGUCAGUUUAUUUAACAAUGUACUAUAUAAGCCAGAAAUUAUUGUCGAUAUCUGUCAUAGACAAAAAGAUUGCCCUAUGUGUACUGUGAAUUAUGCAGGGAUAUUAAUUGCUGUGUAUUUUUUUGAACAGUGAAAAAUUGGAAACAACCUAAGUAUUUACGACAAGGAACAACCCCAGCAUAUUUUUUAUUAAAUAAAGUAAUUUUCAGAGCAAUGUGUUUAGUCUGAAUGUAUUGAAAACACGUAGCACCGAGCCCCAGCACGGUGCUGUUUAUUUUCUAAUCCUGUUGGUUUCUGUGUGUGAGUGUGGAG
rnacentral:lncRNA from 1 species